AGUGAACGCUGGCGGUAGGCCUAACACAUGCAAGUCGAACGGCAGCACAGUAAGAGCUUGCUCUUACGGGUGGCGAGUGGCGGACGGGUGAGGAAUACAUCGGAAUCUACUUUUUCGUGGGGGAUCACGUAGGGAAACUUACGCUAAUACCGCAUACGACCUACGGGUUAAAGCAGGGGAUCUUCGGACCUUGCGCGAUUGAAUGAGCCGAUGUCGGAUUAGCUAGUUGGCGGGGUAAAGGCCCACCAAGGCGACGAUCCGUAGCUGGUCUGAGAGGAUGAUCAGCCACACUGGAACUGAGACACGGUCCAGACUCCUACGGGAGGCAGCAGUGGGGAAUAUUGGACAAUGGGCGCAAGCCUGAUCCAGCCAUACCGCGUGAGUGAAGAAGGCCUUCGGGUUGUAAAGCCCUUUUGUUGGGAAAGAAAAGCAGCAGGUUAAUACCCCGCUGUUCUGACGGUACCCAAAGAAUAAGCACCGGCUAACUUCGUG
rnacentral:rRNA from 1 species